AGGACGAACGCUGGCGGCGUGCUUAACACAUGCAAGUCACGGGGGCUUCGUAAGGAGCAACCGGCGAACGGGUGCGUAACACGUGAGCGACCUGCCAUACCUGUGGGGGAUAGCCGGCCCAACGGCCGGGUAAUACCGCAUACGAUCUUUCGGGCGCCUGCUUGGGAGACGAAAGCUGGGGGGUAACCUUUGGCGCAGGAUGAGGGGCUCGCGGCCUAUCAGCUAGUUGGCGGGGUAACGGCCCACCAAGGCGACGACGGGUAGCUGGUCUGAGAGGAUGGCCAGCCACAUUGGGACUGAGAGACGGCCCAGACUCCUACGGGAGGCAGCAGUGGGGAAUCUUGCGCAAUGGGCGAAAGCCUGACGCAGCCAUGCCGCGUGGAUGAUGAAGGUCUUAGGAUUGUAAAUCCUUUCAGCGGGGACGAUAAUGACGGUACCCGCAGAAGAAGCCCGGCUAACUUCGUGCCAGCAGCCGCGGUAA
rnacentral:rRNA from 1 species